CACUACUAAUAAAAGAGCCAACAAGAAUUUUUCUAAAGCCACCCCGUCAAUUGUACACGGAAAGAUUACCACCACACGAUUAGCCCCCGUAGUUUCGAUCAGACCAUCAGCGUUAAUCUUGUGUGCACUUAGCAUUUUACAAUGACUGACCAUUCUCCACCUCCAGAGGAAUAUUCCACGGAACACUCCGUCCGCAGAGGAAAACUACCCGUCCCCAAAUCCACAGCCCCUAGCACAAAUCGUAGAAACGUCCUUUCCCCGUUCCUCGGGCACGGGAAUCUCGCCGCCGCCGCCACACCGCAGCUUCGGCCGCCGCCGCCCCUCCCCGACAGCUGGUACAGGGCCGGCGGUACAUCCCACUCGACGGUCCUCCAUGCAAAUGGAGGAGCAGCUCAAGACAUUGAUAGUCCUUUCUCACUACCUAGAGACUGGUAGGUUCCGCCAGUUUUGAGAUGAGGCAUCAAAGAACCGUAACAUAUUGGAAGUUGUUCCAGGUUCAAAGAACUUGAAGAAAUCAAUAUGACAAUAGGACAAGCUUCACCAGUAGAGCAACAAGGAGGCGUCAGCAAACUUGUUAUGUAAAUACUCUUUUUGAAUGAGAUAAGAAGUACUAGCGAGGUAGAUUACAACGUGAAGAGUAUCUUUUUAUUUUUUGCCUAGAACAGAUCUUAGCCAUGGAUUCUACUUGGAACUUACAUGAUUGUGUUUGUAUAUUGUAGGUUUGAGAAGUUUUAGGCUACGUCAAUUUCAGACCUGGUGUUGGGUUACUUACGUGUGUGUUGCUCCUUUCUGUGCAAGUAUUAAUAGAUUGAGAUGCAAUACCACAGUAUUUGCAACUGUUGUAAGAUUAUGUCUGUCCUGCAUGAUAUGUAGCGUUACAUUUCUAAACAGUCUAUUAAAUAAGUCGUGGUUAUCAAACAAAUUCAUGAAA